GCCUACACGGCCACGAGUGGGCCCCACGCCUUUGCCUCUCCUCUUGUGCCCCCUCCCCAAGUUUGGUCCCGGGCUAGAUUUUGAGGGGGAGCCCGGGGGAUGAGGAACUUUGUUCACAGCCUUUGCUCAGAGCCCAGAGCAGCACAAGGCACGUUCUUUCUGGCCGAGAAGGUUGGCGAAGGGAAACGGAGUAUGGAGCUACCCAAAGGUGACGGUGCUGAUCUCUGCACGCGGUCACGAUGUUCAUGGUGGCAGAAACCGCGGGACUCCAAGUCAGAAGAUCCCAGCGGCCAGGCCCUCCUUGGGAAGCCUCCGUUUCUCCCUCAGCAAAAUGGGGUGAAUGAUAAAGAGCCUACAUCAGCCAGCUCCACGGACCCAUCGGGCGGUAAAAAACUUGGCGGGGAGCCUGACCAGGUGCAAUCUGGUGGUUGCAAGCAGCACGUCCUCAGAGUGGAGAGCCGCCCCUGCCCGAAGUUCUUCAGGUCCCAGGAAAACCCUUGAGGGAUGCCAGGGGCUGGAUGGUCUCAGAGGGUGGAUGAGGCUAUUAUUACAGCUGUUGCUAUUAUUCUUAAUUUAAUUAUUAUACACACGAAAUGGUGUUGGGUGUGGUGGACCAGGCUUGAAGGGAGGGGUGAGGAGAAAGAACUCAUGGGCUGCCUGCCCUGCUCAGUUCAGGAGGCAGGCUGGGCUGGGUGCAACCAGUCCCUGCUGGUGUGCUGUCUAACCUGGGAGGGUACUGUUUCUGAGACAUGACAGUGCAGCAGCACCUAGAACUUAAAAAAACAAAUAUAAGCACUUAUUCACUCCUUAGUAAGUUUUUCUUGUGUACCUACUAUGUGCCUAGCACUAUUCUAGGAGCUGAGGAUACAGCAAUGAACAAAAUCGACUAAAAAAAUUCCUGCUCUCUUGCCGUUUAUGUUGGUGUGAGGUGAGAUAGAUAAUUUAUAAAAUACAUAAUUAGAUGGCAGAGGAUGUCUGAUGAUGAGUGCUAUGUAGGGGGUGGGACGAAAGGAGAGCCUCUCUGAGAAGGUAAUAUUUGAGCUUUAAAAUAGUUCUAUCUGCUGUUGGUGGGAAUGUCAUUCGUGCAACCACUAUGGAGAACAGUAUAGAAGUUCCUUUGAAAACUAAAAAUAGAGCCACCAUAUGAUCCAGCAGUCCCACUCCUGAGCUUAUACCUGGAAAAUAUGGAAACUCUAAAUCAAAAAGAUACAUGCUCCCCAGUGUUCACAGUAGCGCUAGUUAUAAUAGCCAAGACAUGAAUGCAACCUAAAUGUACAUUGACAGAUGAAUGGAAUAAGAAAUUGUGCUGCAUACAUACAUAUAAUGGAAUACUAGUCAGUCAUAAAAAAGAAUGAAAUAAGGCGAUUUUGCAGCAACAUGGUUGGACCUAGAGAAUAUAUACUAGGUGAAGUAAGUCAGAGAUAAAUAUCAUAUGAUAUCACUUAUGCGUGGAAUCUUAAAAAAUGAUACAAAUGAACUUAUUUACAAAACAAAAACAGACUCAGACAUAGAAAACAAACUUAAGCUUACCAAAGGGGAAAGCGGGCAGGCAAGGAUACAUUAGGAGCUUGGGAUUUACAGAUACACACUCUUCAUAUAAAAUGGAUAAACAACAAGGACCUACCGUAUAGCCCAGAGAUCUAUAUCCAGUAUUUUGUAAUAGCCUAUAAUGAAAAGAAUCUGAAAAAAUAUAUAUCUAUAUAAAAACUGAAUCACCUUACUGUAUACCUUAAACUAACACAACACUAUAAAUCAACUAUACUUCAAUAAAAAAAUAAAAUAGUGCUCUCUGGGGAUUGGUGACAAUGGUGCAUUCAGUUGUGAAAAUGCAUUGAGCUCUGUGCAUUUAUGAUUUUAUGCAUUUUCCUGAAUGCAUUUCAAACCUUAGUGUUUGUUUAGAUUUAGUGCUAACAAAAUCAUUUAGUAAUAAUAGCUAUCAUUUACUCUUGACGUACUGACUGUGCUUCCACCAUGAUAGGUAUUUUCCACUCAUUAUCUCAUUUAAUCCCGAUGAUUCAGCUAACAUGUAAAUAUUAUUGCUCCCCGCUUUUGGAGAGGAAGACAAUUAGAGUGCAGCAUAGCUCUCUUGCCCUUGACAGGCACUGUGGACACAACAAUGAAUGACCCAGCUCCCAUACUCCAGGAGCUUGAAAUCCAAAGCAAGUACAGCAUAAGGGGGCUGUGGAGAAAGUGUGGGUGCUUUCAUACCACCCACAAGAAUGGAGACAUGAAACUGAGCCCAAGAGGCUAGUGCCAAGGCAGGCCUCCAGGAAAUGAUGACUAAGCCAGGAGGCGGAUUCACCAGGCAGGGGUUUUGAGGGCUGUUAUAGACAGAGGAGAAUGUGUGGCAUGUUUGGGGACUGGAGCUCGGCACAGCUGCCCAUAGAACAGGAGGAAGUAACAGGCAAUUUCUUUGGGAGGUAGGUGGGGAUCAGAUCAGGAGGGUCAUGUUAAGAGGUUUAUCCCAGAAGGGAUUAGAGCACACAGGACUACAUUUGUGUUUUGAGAGACCAGUGUGGCCACAGUGUGACAUCAGGAUGGGGGUUGGUUGCUAGAGAUGGUGUUCCUUGGGGGUUGGGGUGGGGGUGGGAAGGAAUCCUGGUGGCCUGAAAUAGAGACAUGGCAGUGGGAGCAGGGAGAUGUGACUCUAUUCCAGAGAUACUGAGAAGGUUGCAUCUAUCCUCCUUGGUGCCGAUUGGAUGUGGCCAGUGAGAGGCAGGAUAGAGUGAUGUCCAGGUCUCUGACUUGGGGUAUUGACACCAAUCACAGAGAUCGUCCAGUGGGGGGAGGGCGGAGUGGCAGGAGGAAGGAAGAUUUGGCAGCAAAGGAAAGGAGACUUGAAGGGCUGGUAAAACUUUCUAGUAGCCCAGCAGCAGUGACAGGCAGGCAGCCCCACAAAUGCGUGGAGUUGGCACUGAUGCAUAGACCUGCUGAAGCCCAUUGAAUGGCUGAAAGAGCAGCACAGAAGAGGAAGGCACAGGAUGGAUUCCUUUCGGAUCAUCUGGGAUGUUCUGCCCCCACUGCUGCAGUCUCCCCAGCACUGUACUUCCCAAUCCUAACACUCACGUUUUGGUAAUUAUUUACUUGUCUGAUGUUUUAUUUUCUCUAUGGAACUCACCAUCAUCUAAAAUUGUUAGUUUUGUUUUUUGUUCAUUGUAUGCCUCUGCACUCCAGAACACAAACCUCAAGAGGGCUGGGACUCUGUCCUCGCCCACUGCUAACAUCCCUGAGUCUGGCCAACAUGUAUUGAUCUCUAUGAAUGGCCCGCCCACUGAUCUGACUGGUAGCAGGUGACACAGACCCACAAGAGUGCAGGACAAUGGAUUUCCUUGUGCAGUGAAGUUGCUGGACACUAGUUUUGCACUUUGCACAGUACUGAAACACUCUAAGUGAAAAUUAGAGCUUUGUGAAACUGAUUCUAAAAAUGAAAUCUGAAAGACAAUAUCUCAUCUCUAAAAAUCUCCAAUUGCAAGUUUAUAUUUUAGAGCUGCAUUAUGUGUCGCCUUCAGUAGAGAAACUCCUGCUCAUUAAGACGUAUUCUUCCUCCUCUUCCCUUCCCUCCUUUCCCUCCCUCCCUUCAUUCCUCUCUUCCUUUCUUUAUUUCAGCCAAUACAUGAAUAAUCAGUCUUGUUCUCAGCAGAGGUUCAGAGGUGAAUAGGACAGACAAGCUUCCUUCCCUCCCUUCCACCUCCUGGAGUUUACAUGCUGUUGGGAGGGCUGAUGAUAAACAAAUGAAUGAUGAAUGAUAUUCCUGCCUUCAUGGAUCUUAUAUUAAAGAUAUGAGUCCAACCUUA
rnacentral:lncRNA from 1 species